rnacentral:rRNA from 1 species
CCUACGGGUGGCAGCAGUGGGGAAUAUUGCGCAAUGGGCGAAAGCCUGACCCAGCAACGCCGCGUGAAGGAAGAAGGCUCUCGGGUUGUAAACUUCUUUUGUCAGGGACGAAGCAAGUGACGGUACCUGACGAAUAAGCCUCGGCUAACUACGUGCCAGCAGCCGCGGUAAUACGUAGGUGGCAAGCGUUAGCCGGAUUUAUUGGGUGUAAAGGGAGUGUAGGCGGGAAGGCAAGUCAGAUGUGAAAACUAUGGGCUCAACCCAUAGCCUGCAUUUGAAACUGUAUGUCUUGAGUGCUGGAGAGGCAAUCGGAAUUCCGUGUGUAGCGGUGAAAUGCGUAGAUAUACGGAGGAACACCAGUGGCGAAGGCGGAUUACUGGACGAUAACUGACGGUGAGGCGCGAAAGCGUGGGGAGCAAACAGGAUUAGAUACCCGUGUAGUC